rnacentral:rRNA from 1 species
UAACACAUGCAAGUCGAACGGCAGCACGGGCUUCGGCCUGGUGGCGAGUGGCGAACGGGUGAGUAAUACAUCGGAACGUGCCCUGUAGUGGGGGAUAACUAGUCGAAAGAUUAGCUAAUACCGCAUACGACCUGAGGGUGAAAGCGGGGGACCGCAAGGCCUCGCGCUACGGGAGCGGCCGAUGUCUGAUUAGCUAGUUGGUGGGGUAAGAGCCUACCAAGGCGACGAUCAGUAGCUGGUCUGGGAGGACGAUCAGCCACACUGGGACUGAGACACGGCCCAGACUCCUACGGGAGGCAGCAGUGGGGAAUUUUGGACAAUGGGGGCAACCCUGAUCCAGCAAUGCCGCGUGUGUGAAGAAGGCCUUCGGGUUGUAAAGCACUUUUGUCCGGAAAGAAAUGGCUCUGGUUAAUACCCGGGGUCGAUGACGGUACCGGAAGAAUAAGCACCGGCUAACUACGUGCCAGCAGCCGCGGUAAU